rnacentral:misc_RNA from 1 species
CGAGCUUCCGUACUUGCUGCAACUGUGACUGCUGUGUUCUGUUCACUUUGAUUCGUAAUGUUGUUAGUACCCGGAUGUUCAGCAUUUCAUUAUGGCUUCCUUUGAGGUUUUGGACUGUCAUUAAAUAUACAACAUAAACAACCUGAACUAAAUACUGAGACAUUUACUCAUCACCCCACUGUCUUGCUGCUUUUCUCAAGUUGAGGCCAUACCAAUGGAGGAUAUAUCCAGGAUUCCACAACCUAAUGGAAUUAAAGUUUUCAUUCAGCGAGACUAUACAGAUGGCACCCCAGUCAGAUUCCAGACAAAAUUUCCUGCUGAAUUGGAAGGAAGGAUUGAAAGAUCAACAUUUGCAGAAACAAUAAACACCAUCAAUGAAAUGUACAAAGAAGCCGAAAGCUUGGGUGGUAGUACCUAUUGUGAAAGCUGUUUUGCUUGCCUCACUGCAUAUCUUUCCUAUUUGUGUGUGGACACUCACUAUGAAAAGUGUUUGAAAAAGAUUGGUCGAUAUAUUGAAAACCAAAAUCAAACAAUAUAUGUUUCUCGUGGAUUAAUGUUGGUAGAUCCAGCUGAACGUGGUUUGCGAACAUUGGAAAUCUGCAUCUUGCAAGACUCUGGUGGUAUUGGCGGCAGCGGAGGAAGUGGUCUUGGAGGAAGAUGAUAUAAGAAUUUGUGAAUUUGGUUGUUCUUCUGUGGGUGGGGUAGGGUUUGCUUAUUCAUUAAGAAAUUUCCAAGUAAGCUGUCACUCUGAUUCUCCGGUAUGCACGUAUUUCAUCAACACAUGCGCAAGCUUCCUUUUUGUUCUGCAUAAUUGCUGAAUUAUUGUACCAAUGAAAGUUUCAUGGAAAAAAAAAAAAACUGAUAAAAAAAAUACAAGUUCUAAAGAUAUUUUUGGACCAACAAUUCUUGAAAAAGUUUCGGUGUUGCUUAUCUUUCGCGUAAUAUUUCGUCCAAAUCACUUCAAGAAUCGAACAGAUCAAAGACAGACAUAAAGUGUGCAUAGAAAAAAAUAGAUAUAUCUCUCUGGUUUAUCAUUCCACAUCACUAGUUCUACUUACCAAAAAUUGGCCCACUUGGCCCUGUGCAUUUGUCGCCAUUAAUUCAUUGAAUAAAUUACCAAAUAAGCUUUCACUUAAGAAUGAUUGGUGAUCAUUCUCUGAAGUUUCAAUUUAAAGAAAAGAAAAGAAAAGUAAAACAGGAAACACACAGCAAAGGUUGCAAAAUGCAAAUAAAUGAUAGUGAAAGGCAUUAAAAUUUUCUCUUUCCUUUGAAACAAAUGUAAACAAGAAUGAUUCAACUCAUGCAGUUUCAGGCAGUAUAAGAUUGACAGAUUCAAGCAGGAUGUUAAGAGUUAAUUAAUAUGUGUUUGUUUUGAUGGUAAUGAUAACCAUUACCUUAUGUAUAUAUAUAUAUAUAUAAACAACCUAUCCCAAAUUUUUCACAUCUUGUAUUGGAAAAAGUAAGAAAUCUUUACAAAUUCCCUCAAAGUCACGAAUGUCUACUUUCAGAUCAAACUCUAUGCUGGCUCCCUUAAAGAUUUCAUAAAACUUGACAUUGGUUUCCAUGUCCAGCAGGUCUUAAUAGACAAAAUAUGUGCUAAUCAGCUAAACAUUUCCAUCUAGCAAUUGAUCCAGUUGCCUUCUCAUUCAAACCUUUGUUUUCUAUAUUUUUGUUUCAUCUCUUUGUCAUGUGUUUCAAUUCAUACUACUCUUGUUAUUGUACCAUUCUAAAUUCAAAUAGUUCUUUACUCUUAAUCUUCGUUCUUUACUAACAAACGUUUAAUUGGCAAAACAUUGUCUUCAGGAAACUUUCAUUCAAGAUUUUUCGACAACAGUCUUAAGUGGAUUUAACAGUCUACCACUUUCCUCAGAAGUUUGUCAGAUUAUCACCUUAUUAAAUGACCUUAUAUUACAG